AAAUAUUGGGACAUAUAAAAAAAGACAACUCUGUUCCGCAGAGUAGCUGUUGACAUUAUAGUUGCGCGGGCACUUUGCUGACUCUAGAGAAUCUCAGGCCAAUCGCACAUCCCCGUGACGGUGACUUUGCAUUCGGAUGUCAUCCAUAUCAACUUUCUAUGCCAGUUUCUGUGCCUACCAUGGUGACCACGGGUAACGUGGAAUCAGAGUUCCAUUCCGUACAGGGACCCCGAGAAACGGCUACCACAUGCAAGGAAGGCAGCAGGCGCGCAAAUGACCCACUCCCGACGCGGGAAGGUAGUGAU